AUUGAACGCUGGCGGCAGGCCUAACACAUGCAAGUCGAACGGUAACAGGAAGCAGCUUGCUGCUUCGCUGACGAGUGGCGGACGGGUGAGUAAUGUCUGGGAAGCUGCCUGAUGGAGGGGGAUAACUACUGGAAACGGUAGCUAAUACCGCAUAAUGUCGCAAGACCAAAGAGGGGGACCUUCUGGCCUCUUGCCAUCGGAUGUGCCCAGAUGGGAUUAGCUUGUUGGUGGGGUAACGGCACACCAAGGCGACGAUCCCUAGCUGGUCUGAGAGGAUGACCAGCCACACUGGAACUGAGACACGGUCCAGACUCCUACGGGAGGCAGCAGUGGGGAAUAUUGGACAAUGGGCGCAAGCCUGAUGCAGCCAUGCCGCGUGGAUGAAGAAGGCCUUCGGGUUGUAAAGCCCUUUUGGGGGGAAGGAAGAGAAUAAGGUUAAUACCCCGCUAUUUUGACGUUACCCAAAGAAGAAGCACCGGCUAACUUCGUG
rnacentral:rRNA from 1 species